rnacentral:rRNA from 1 species
UUGCGGUUAAAAAGCUCGUAGUUGGAUUUCUGUUGAGGAUGACCGGUCCGCUCUUUGAGCGCGUAUCUGGUUCAGCCUUGGCAUCCUCUUGGGGAACGCUACUGUGCUUGAUUGCAUGGGGCGGUAUUCAAGACUUUUACUUUGAGGAAAUUAGAGUGUUCACUGCAAGCGUUAGCAAUUGAAUACAUUAGCAUGGAAUAAUAAUAUAGGACCUUGGUACUAUUUUGUUGGUUUCUAGAACUAAGGUAAUGAUUAAUAGGGACAAUUGGGGGCAUUCGUAUUAACGCGUCAGAGGUGGAAUUCUUAGAUUGCGUUACGACGAACUACUGCGAAAGCAUUUGCCAAGGAUGUUUUCAUUGAUCAAGAACGAAAGUAUGGGGAUCGAAGACGCUUAGAUACCGUCGUAGUCUAUACCAUAAACUAUGCCAACUAGAGAUUGGAGGUCGUUCUCUUUAUGACUCCUUCAGCACCUUAUGA